CCGCCUCUUUCUUGUGCAGGAGCCAAGAUGGCGGCAGCGCAGAGAAUAUUAAAAGCAUAGACAUAUAUAUAGAUGUAGACGCCGCAUUGAGCGAUGCGAUCUCGCGUCAACGCCACCGCCAUCUUGCAACUGGCAAAAAGUGGAGCGACAGGAGAAGAUGCCACAGUCAUGUUCUGCGUGGAAUUGUACUAACCGUUUUACAUCACAAACGAGAUCCACUGGUAUAACUUGUCACAGUAGGACCACUCGUAUGCUCUGCCCUCAUCCAAUGAUGAUCUGAGGGCCAGACUCAGGGAAGCCUUGGCUAGGGUGGAGAGUCUGGAAAGGGAGAAGAGGAAUGCGAAGGACAGAGAGAGGAGAGCAAAGAACACUGUGGAUGAGCUCUGUGGAUUCCAAGCCUGGGCUGGAGGGGCACAUUCAAGAAACACAGUUUGGAAUUGACAACCACCAUUUUGUGUUAAUAUCACAAGUCAUAUCCGUCUUUCACAAACUGAGGCAGCACCACAUCGCCAAGCUGAGUUGCAGAGUGGCAACACAUGGGAAAAGCUCUGCAAGGCUGUUCUUUUCCGAGGUUUUUAAUUGCUGCAAACAGAGAUUGCAGUUUUAUAGCUGUUAGUUAUAUAGACAUGUGUGGGUACAUAUGUUUAAUAAAUGAAUAUGACCGUGUGUGUGUGUGUGUGUG
rnacentral:lncRNA from 1 species